GUGAAGGGAUAAAGAAACUUCCAUCCAUACAAUGGAAUACUACUCAGCAAGAAAAAGGAACGAACCAUUGAUAAACAAAGCAAUGUGGAUGCAUUCUGCAGACAGCAUGUUGAGGGAAGGAAGCCAGACUCAAAAGACUGUGAUCUCCUGAGGGGGACUGUCAUAGCCCAGCCCCAGCCCAGAGCCUGUCACAUAGGAUGACAUCAGGAAAUGUCUGCUAUGGAAUGAAGGCAGGGUGGCUCUAUUUCCUCUACAUGCCUCCGGAAUCCAAGGAUAUCAGCAGAAUGUCAUCAGACUGGGAUCAAUUUUUAUGGUAAUUCCCAGGGAUGAAGGUUUCUGGGCUGCAUGAAGGUUUCUAGGCUGCAGGUAACAAAAAUUCAAACUCCAAUCUGUACAAAGGGCAGGCUUAAGCUUUCUAUUUCUCAAGGAAGACUUCCUCUCCGCCCACUCAAAGCUCAGGCAGAGAUGAACAUGUUUUCUUAUUCCUCUGUGUUGGGAAUAAGAAGGGUAUGUGUCUUUGUCCAUCUUUUGCCUAAGGAGGUAGUCUUUCCAGGGUGCUGGCUUUAUACAGGGUUUUCAGUUCUAAACUCCCACUUUGCUUAGGAUCAAGGCCUUAUUUCCUGACUUGAGAGUGCAUGAAAAUCCAGGCUGUAGGUUCCUGAGACAAUACCUCUUGGACCAUUCCCACUCAUACUUUGUAGCUUAUGUGAUCACUGCCCUGUUUUCCAUUUCUGGCGCCUGUGUGUUUUCAUUUCUUUUUUGCCAGCUCAUUCAUUCAGUUAAAGCAAUACUGGUUACAUUUCCCCUGGUAUUUUUAGGUAAGCACAGCAGGAAGACGUUCAGGGUUCAUUGGUUUUUCAUCUUGCUGGAACUAAAAAUGUCUUCUCAGGCUCCUUGUUUAGGAACUUGUCCUCUGCCUGUCCUUUUACCUUGUCCUCUGCUUGUCCCUUUCUGAGAGUCCUUAUUUGGCCCUCCUGUCCUUUCUCCCUGUAUCGGAGGUCCUCAUCUGCUUCACCAAGACCUCUGGAUCCCUGGACCCUAAUAGCUUUUAACAAGAAGGCAGGAUGAAAUGUACUCGUAAAGCUAAGUUUGAAGCUUUUUUCUGCUACUUACCAGCUGAGUGACCUGGGGGCAAGUUACUUGGCCAUUCUAGGCCAAUUUCCUCAUGUGUAACGUGAGUGAAACAGUGAACAAGAGGGCUCUGGAGGCAGGCUGUGAAUGUGCAAUGAACAAAGGGACUUGGGAAUUGGGGUCUUCAUUGACUGGCAAGGGGUUAGGUGGGUGUGCCCUGUGGUUAAACAGGUGAUGGGCAGGGAUUCAAUUCCAUGAGUCCUCAGGCACGGUGUGAAGCAAUUUACAUUUAAUCCUCAGGAUUGAAUGUCAGUUCUGCAAGGAAUGUGACUGUCUCAUGUUACAGAUGAGGAAACAGGCUGGGAAUGGUUUAGUAACUUGCCCAGUUCUGUCUCUUUCCACUAGACGACUGCUUUGGGCUGAACAUCCUUCUGAUCCAAACAUCCUUUAUAGGGAUAUUCAUUGGAGACCUAACGCUGCUUUAGAAGUGAUUUUUUAAAAAAAUUCCCAUUUUGUUUUAUUUUAUUGACUUAUGGGAGAGUAAUUUUCUUCUUUGAAUUUUGGGAAUGGGGUCCUUCUGGGGUGAUCUCCUGUCAAGUGUGAGCUGGCACAGGAGUUCGGAGGAACAGCUGGUUGCUACACCUCCCCUUCCCCUAAAGAGAACAAAGGCUCAGGCCCUCUUUGACCACCAGGUAAGUAAGAGUUCCCCACUCUCACUCCAACACACAGAUAGGCUUUUUGGAGCAUUUUCUGCCUAGCUACCCCUCUUGCACCCAGCUGCCUCUGCCUGGGCCCCACUGAUGUUCUGAGUCCCUGACCCAGGCACAGAUGUGGGAGGUGAGGUGUGUCUCUCUGUUUGGUGACUUUCCAGGUGCCAAGACACACCUGAUCAGCAUUCUGGACGUAGGCACUCCCCAUCACCCCUUACUUACAGAAUGGGCCACAGGAUGAAGGGUAUGUAUCUAUGAAUGGCAAAGCUGUACAGUAAGAUGAAGAAGCUGAAGAUGGAUAUCUCCAUGGUGAUGAUAAGCCUCAAGAUGGGGUGCACGGCCAGGCCUACUAGAGUGCCUGGUGUCCAACGAGCGGCUCAGAGGGCGCGCUCAGCUAACUGCCAGGACCACCGAAUGCCAACUCCCGCGCCCUCUCCACGCGCGCCCGUCUCCUCGCGCAGCUCCCAUCCGCCAGGCAGCGGCCGGAUCCGCCCACCCUCCACGCGCCGGCCCCCGACGGGCCCCAACUCCGUUUCCAACCCGCCGGUCCCACCUCCGCGCGGAGCUGCCCUCGCGGUCCCAUCCCGGCGUCUCCAGGUGGCCCCAGGCUUUUUCUGGUAAGGACCGCUGGGAUUGAACAGAAGCUUCCGGUAAAUAAGGGCCCCGUCGGCAAGACAGCAUACUGCUGUCACAAGUGCAAACACCUGGAAAGAAAGACACGUGUCACUGCCCUAACCAUGGUCCCCACUCCUGUCAUUCACACAAGUUUUAAGUGGUCUGCCCACCAGAUUCCUCUCUUGCUAGGGUACUCGGAUUGCUCCCUGUGCUUCAUCUAAUACUAAUAUGGAGAGACUUCAGAGAUCAUCUUAUUCUCCUCAUUGCUAAGUUUUCUAAAUACUUGCCUAUAGAAAGAGAAAAGAUAAUUUAAGUGAGCAGAAAAAUAAUAAAGCAGUGUGGGCUCUGAAAUCCAUACUUGUUUGCUUUUAUCUCUUGACCUUCUCUUGCAUGUAUUCUUUUAAGCCCUACUAAGGAUAUUUAGUUAUUAAUAUUUCUAACCCCAGUGUUCAACUCUGACUUCUCUACUGACAAACUCACAGAAGAAAAGGUCAAAGUUAACACCAGCUCAAUAUUAAAUCAUGGGGACUGUAGCUCCAGAAAACUGGAGUUAAUAAGAUGAUCCAAAGUGAACUCUCAAAGGCUAGGCUACAUCUGCUUAAGGGGUGAGAUUCUAAAUAGACCUUAAGAAAGUAAAAUUAGAUAAAAACAAUAACUAAGAACACGUGGGGGCCUUCAGACACUCUGAUGGCUAUCUGAGAGCUGGUGCCUGGGGUGGGAGAGGGGGAUGUCAUUCCUUGCAUGCUGUUUGGUCAGCUUCUUCCAGUCAUCAGGAAGUUUGGCUUCCUGGCUCCAGACAUGGCUCUCACAGUCUCCUUUUCCACCCAGAGUCUCAAGCCACUGCCUCCUAGGUUCUGACCACACUGAAUACCUCCUACCAAUCUUUUCAUGACUGGCACUCUGUACACUAUUGGCUCCUCUACCUGGAACCUUUUCCCUUUUUUCUCCUUUAUUCUCAGCAAACAGC
rnacentral:lncRNA from 1 species